UACAUUCCUCUCACCCACCACUGUCAAUCGAACAAUAUUUGUAUAAGAUUGCUUUAAAUAACUUCAGACAAUCAUCUACAUCCAAAAUAAUAAAGCAGAAAAUGUUUACAUCUUAUUUUCCUCACAGAUAUUAAAUUUAAGAUUUGACUUUUGAGGAAUCAUAAUUAUAUGUAACACCAAGAUCAAGAAGUAGGCAGCAGGCCUGCAGGCGGGCGAACCAACCACAUUGCACAUUACCUGAUGGCCACAACAACCAGUGACCUGCAGCAUGGAGGGACUGAGGCGCGUGUCAUCCUGUCCUUCAUAAUAUCUUCUCACCAGGAAGUGGAUGACGUGCCUGUGAACUGGUGAAGAACAAGACAGUGACAGGGCCGUGGGUGCCUGCGUGUGCUGGUGCAAGCUUGGUGCCUGCCUGGAUGUGCCUACAGGGAGGUGCCUACAGGGCCACCAAGGCUAAUAUUGGUAAGAAACCCGCCCACCACUUGUCCAGCCAGCUAAUUUGCACAGUGUGAUGUAACAGGCGGUAACUGUGAUAGUGUUGUUACGUGUCACCCACAACAACAACACAGGGCUGUCAGAUACAAAUAUAGAGGGACGAAAUAGGGAAACAGGAAGACCACCACCACCACCACCAUCACCACCAGCAGUGUGGAAGAAAGUUUAGAGCAACGGCAACCCUCCGAUCCGGCAAGCAAGUUGGCGGCAGCGAUGGCGGUGGCGGCGGCAGUGGUGGUGAGGUGGACGGCAGGGACAGAGGGGCAGUACAGGCUGCGGACAUCAAGGAGAAGAGGAACGCACGGACAAGCAAGGUGUUAUUCGGCAGUCUGAUCCUGGACCUGCUCGGCUUGAAGGUGGUGCUGCCCGUGUGUCCUGCUCUCCUCGACUGUUACUCCAAGCACAACACCAGCGGCUUGUAUUCCUCUGAGCUCUCCUGUGUGACUUAUUACCAGCAUAUAAUCGGUUUCGCUGCGAGGUUCCAUUCUGUCUUGUUUGGUAAUUGAGUGGGUUUGUUGUGUUUUGUAUUAUUUGUUUUAAUUUUUUUGUUUUUAUUAUUAUUUUUUCAAUUUUUUUAUCCUAUUAUCUAUUUAUUUAUUUUUUGUUUGUUUGUUUGUUUACAGGGUGUGUGUGUGUUUGUUUGUGUUCCUGCUGUUCAAUAUUGCAGCUUGUUUUCUUUAUUAUUGUUAUUUUGUGUUUUAUUCUAUUUCAGUGUUCUGAGGGAGUCUUCAGGUGUUUUUGGGGUGUUUUGGGGUGUUUUUGGAGUGUUUUGGGGUGUUUUUGGUGUGUUGUGAAGUGUUUUGAUGUGUUUUGGGGUGGUUAAGGGGUGUUUUGAAGUGUUUUGUGGUGUUGUGGAGGUGUUUUGGGAUUUUUGGUGUGUUUUAAAGUGUUUUGGGAUGUUUUUGGAAUGUUUUGAUGUGUUUUGAGAUGUUUAGGAGUAUUUUUGGAGUAUUUUGGUGUGUUUUUGGAGUGUUUUGGGAUGUGUUUUGGGGUGUUUUGGGGUAUUUUGAAGGUGUUUUGGUGUGUUUUUGGAGUGUUUUGGGAUGUGUUUGUAGUGUUUUGGGGUGUUUUGGGGUAUUUUGAAGGUGUUUUGGUGUGUUUUGGGGUAUUUUGAGAUGUUUUGGUGUGUUUUGGGUUAUUUUGAGAGUGUUUUGGUGUGUUUUUGGAGUGUUUCUGGGUGUUUUGGAGUAUUUUGAGGGUGUUUAAAGGUGUUGUGGUAGUUUAAAAUAUAUUGUUAGUUUACUUUUUUUUUACUUUUUAUUUUCUUAUGCAUUAUUUUAUUUCUUAUUUAUAUUGUGGUGUGUUGUCGGUGUGUCCUAACCUAACCUAACCAGCCUACCCUCUCCUAACCUCCCCUCAACCCACAGGCACUGAUUGGCGUGACAUUCAGCAUAGGCUUCACCGUCGGGCACACUGUGGGGGCUGCGUUCUCCCGCUGGGGAAGUACUGGGUGGUUCGCGGCCUCGGCUGUCUACGCACGCACUCUCACUGUGGCUAACAUAAUAUUCUUUGCUGUCUUCUUCCAGGAAUCGCUGCCUGAGGGCAGAAGGAGGAGGGACAUCGGUGCCAGUUUGACCGAGGCUUGGGAGGUGAUCAAUCCUAGGGCUCUGUUCUCCGUCAGCUGUGUCAAGGGCCUGGGAAGAGAAGCCUGGAGUUAACGCUGAUCUUCGCGACCCACCACAAGCAUAGUUACGACUCGUUGGCGCAGGACCGCAAGUUUUCCUUCCUGGGCCUGGUCAUGGCAAUUACACAGAGAGGGUUUAUGCGAAGUGUUAAGACUGGAACUGAAAAAGCAACUGCCAAUUAGUCGAGGUACUGCACCAUCCUACGUGUACCGGCAGCUUAGCGAACUGUACCGUCCCACUUCUUGUGUAACAAGAAGGUAACAGCUUUAAUCCUUGCAAAUAAGGAAUAAGAGAAAAGAGACACACCUGCCAUUUGUACUGUUAUGCUGUAGUGUUCUGUCAUUUUUUUCCUCUUUUAUCCUAGAACCAUUUUUGGUCAUUCAUGUUUCUAAAAAUUAUUAUACAAAAAUGUUGAGCUUAAUAUGUUUGGUGUAGUUUUUUGUAACAUGUGUUAUUGUUAAUGUGUGUGGUUCCCCUCAGGAAGAAUGUUGCAGUAUUAGCAGUAAUGUUACAGCCAAUGGAAGUGUCUGUAUUGUGCUUUGGUGGGAGGUUAAUUUGAUGUAUUUUUAGAGUUGUGCAGGAUAUUAUAGCAAGCCCUCAAAAUAAAGAAAAUAACUAUAGAAAA